rnacentral:tRNA from 1 species
GCCCGCCUAGCUCAAUCGGAUAGAGCGUCAGACUCUUAAUCCUUAGGCGUGCGGGAAUCUGAAGGCUGCGAGUUCGACCCUCGCGGUGGGCU